GCCAUCAGAUUUGCCCUGGGAUUAGCUAGUAGGUGGGAAGUAACGGCUCACCUAGGCGAAACGAUCCCUAGCUGGUCUGAGAGGAUGACCAGCCACACUGGAACUGAGACACAGGUCCAGACUCCUACGGGAGGCAGCAGUGGGGAAUAUUGCACAAUGGGCGCAAGCCUGACAGCCAUGCCAGCGUGUGUGAAGUUAAGGCCUUCGGGUUGUAAAGCACUUUCAGCGGGGAGAGGCGUUAAGGUUAAUAACCUUGAGGGCGAUUGACGUUACCCGCAGAAGAAGCACCGGCUAACUCCGUGCCAGCAGCCGCGGUAAUACGGAGGGCAAGCGUUAGAUCGGGGAAUUACUGGGCGUAAAGCGCACGCAGGCGGUCUGUCAAGUCGGAUGUGAAAUCCGGGCUCCCAACCUGGGAACUGCAUUACGAAACUGGCAGGCUAGAGUCUAGAGGGGGGUAGAAUUCCAGGAGUACCGCGGUGAAAUGCGUAUUGAGAUCUGGAGGAAUACCGGUGGCGAAGGCGGCCCCCUGGACAAAGACUGACGCUACAGGUGCGAAAGCGUGGGGAGCAAACAGGAUUAGAUCCUGGUAGUCCACGCCGUAAACGAUGUCGAUUAUUUGGAGGUUGUGCCCUUGAGGCGUGGCUUCCGGCUAACGCGUUUCGACCGCCUGGGGAGUACGGUCCGCAAGAGUUAAAACCCCUCAAAGUGAAUUGACGGGGGCCCGCACAAGCGGUGGAGCAUGUGGUUUAAUUCGAUGCAACGGCGAAGAACCUUACCUGGUCUUGACAUCCACAGAACUUAGCAGAGAUGCUAUUGGUGCCUUCGGGAACUGUGAGACAGGUGCUGCAUGGCUGUCGUCAGCUCGUGUUGUGAAAUGUUGGGUUAAGUCCGCGCAACGAGCGCAACCCUUAUCCUUUGUUGCCAGCGGUUAGGCCGGGAACUCAAAGGAGACUGCCAGUGAUAAACUGGAGGAAGGUGGGGGAUGACGUCAAGUCAUCAAAUGGCCCUUACGACCAGGGCUCCACACAGCUACAAUGGCAUAUACAAAGAGAAGCGACCUCGCGAGAGCAAGCGGACCUCAUAAAGUAUGUCGUAGUCCGGAUUGGAGUCUGCAACUCGACUCCCAUGAAGUCGGAAUCGCUAGUAAUCGUAGAUCAGAAUGCUACGAAUACUCCCGGGCCUUAAGUACACACCUUCCGCCCGUCACACCAUGGGAGUGGGUUGCAAAAGGUAGGUAGGGCUUAAC
rnacentral:rRNA from 1 species